UAGGGAAUCUUCCGCAAUGGGCGAAAGCCUGACGGAGCAACGCCGCGUGAGUGAUGAAGGUCUUCGGAUCGUAAAACUCUGUUAUUAGGGAAGAACAAAUGUGUAAGUAACUAUGCACGUCUUGACGGUACCUAAUCAGAAAGCCACGGCUAACUACGUGCCAGCAGCCGCGGUAAUACGUAGGUGGCAAGCGUUAUCCGGAAUUAUUGGGCGUAAAGCGCGCGUAGGCGGUUUUUUAAGUCUGAUGUGAAAGCCCACGGCUCAACCGUGGAGGGUCAUUGGAAACUGGAAAACUUGAGUGCAGAAGAGGAAAGUGGAAUUCCAUGUGUAGCGGUGAAAUGCGCAGAGAUAUGGAGGAACACCAGUGGCGAAGGCGACUUUCUGGUCUGUAACUGACGCUAAUGUGCGAAAGCGUGGGGAUCAAACAGG
rnacentral:rRNA from 1 species